rnacentral:lncRNA from 1 species
AUCCUGCCUCUGUGGAUGGGGAAGGCAGUCUCUCUACUGUCAUCUUUAAUCUUAGCACGCCUGGUUCCUGAUGUUCUGUGGCAAGGAAUCUGGCUCCCUGGGAACAGGGCGAGGAGGAGAACUCACAGAGAGGGAGGCUGCAGGGUGAGCCCCCGCUCCCGUCCUCCGCGUAGGAAUAGGAAGAGCAGGAGCUGGAAGUCCUGGUCCUGGUCUCCAAGGGGGGGUUCUCGCAGUCCUCGUGUGGGCGCUGGCACGCAGCAUCCUUCCGGCACACAAACAGGCCAUCCUCACUGUUCAGGAGCUGGGUCUGCAGGAAGCUGAAGCAGGAGUCCUCCAGGUUGUGCAUGCGCAGGAACUCAGCACAGCGGAUGACCUCGCGGAUGUUUUCUCUGCUGAGUAACAGCUUGGCAGUGUAGGCAAACUGUAACAGCGGCCCAAAGCCCCUGGCUGUGACCUGCAAAACAAACAGGGAAAUCGCCAACAUUACCAUCAGCACUGCUAUUGUCCCGAAUCCCUCAACUGAAGCAAGAUAACCAGACAGUGCUAAUGUCCCAGAAUAAAGACUGCAAAGGGGCAGUUAAUCUUGUAGUACUGGGUCAGCAAUGAUUCUGCUUCCAAUAAUUAGUGCCUGUCUCGUGCAUGCCACUGUUGUACUCCAUCACAGCACAGGCAGAAUUGAAAAUCACCAGGGUCAAGUGGUUCUUGCAAGCACUGCUGACCACACAGGAAGGUGACGCAUGUCUACAAAUCCUGUACAAAUCAAAUGAAAGCAGCAAUCAUGGGGUCCUUGCUAGAGGCUAUGGUAGCAGUGAUACAAAAUUUUAGCGGGGGGAGUGAGUGCACAGCAAGGUGAACUGGUAAACUUUGUAGCUGACUUCUGUGUGUAUUAAACUCACCGCAGCAUACAGAGCCAAAAUUCUUGCAAGGACCUGUAA